GCGGGUUUACGAUGGAUUUUCUUAUGUUAUGUCAGAACUUAUGUUAUGUUGAAAGAGCUUAUGUUAUGUCGGUUUUGAAGGGGGUGUUUACGGUGGUUACGUUAUGUCUGCAAGGAACCUUAUGUGAAAUGUACCUAAAAGCAUAAAACUAUAUUUUUGGGGGAGUUAAAACCAUUGCGAGAAAUUUAAAAUUAAUUUUUGCUGUCAAUUCUUUGUAUGACAGCUUCAAAUUUAAAUUGUCCGAAUCCAUAAUUUACUUUGUAGGUUAGGUUUCCACUGCUUCGCGCGCGUUCUCGCGUUUCUCAUUGGUUCCCGCGUCACGUGACCCUUAUGUUAUGUCGAAGUAGAACAUAAGUCAACUCGAUAGUUGACUUAUGUUGCAAGGAGUUAUGUCGCAACAUAACAUAACGAUCAACAUAGCAUCGUAAACGGUCCCAUAAGAGACAAGCAAAGUUGACUUUUCGACAUAACAUAAGGGUACGACAUAGCAUAAGAAAAUCCAUCGUAAACCCGCCAUGAGGUGAAAUCUAAAUAUCUGUUAUCAUUUAUCACGACCAGAAAGCAGACAAAAUAAAAAUUAGAUGGGUAAUAAUGAAAACGUGCAAAGAUUUCUACUCCAGCUAAGAAGCAGCCUGCUGACACUGGAGGUCGGCAGUAGAUCUCAGCUGAUCGUAGAUUGAUAAGAGACGGACUAGCAGACAGCACAGCAGACGUCUUGGCGCGGAGCGAGGAUUCGCUUCGGCACGGAGGCGGAGGCAGCAAGGAAAUGACUUGGAAAUGAUUUUCUGUCUCAAAAUGUACUGUGCUCCUGUAAGCCAACUGAAGUAUUUAAUUUGUGUUGAGUCUCAACAUGAGAUGCUAGAAUAUGAUUGAAUUAAAGGGCGAAGGAAAAGAGACAUGA